GGGUAAGCUGGCUGAACUGCCACCGCUCUCCUAAAGCGGGUGCCGCAGGUUCGUACCCUGCCGGAG
rnacentral:tRNA from 1 species